AGCAUAUUAAUAAGCGGAGGAAAAGAAACUAACAAGGAUUCCCUCAGUAACAGCGAGUGAAGCGGGAACAGCUCAAAUUUGAAAUCUCCGACGCUUGCGUCGGCGAGUUGUAGUUGCGAGAAGCACUUUCUAGGCGGAUCGGUGGUGCCUAAGUUGCUUGGAACAGUACGUCAUAGAGGGUG
rnacentral:rRNA from 1 species